rnacentral:rRNA from 1 species
UUUAACUGAAGAGUUUGAUCAUGGCUCAGAUUGAACGCUGGCGGCAGGCUUAACACAUGCAAGUCGAGCGGGGGAAGGUAGCUUGCUACUGGACCUAGCGGCGGACGG